rnacentral:rRNA from 1 species
UACGGAGGGUGCAAGCGUUAUCCGGAUUCACUGGGCUUAAAGGGUGCGUAGGCGGGCAGGUAAGUCAGUGGUGAAAUCUCCGAGCUUAACUCGGAAACUGCCGUUGAUACUAUCUGUCUUGAAUCCCGUGGAGAUGAGCGGAAUAUGUCAUGUAGCGGUGAAAUGCUUAGAUAUAACAUAGAACACCAAUUGCGAAGGCAGCUCGUUACACGAAGAUUGACUCUGAGGCACGAAAGCGUGGGGAUCAAACAGG